rnacentral:rRNA from 1 species
UGGGGAAUAUUGGGCAAUGGGCGCAAGCCUGACCCAGCAACGCCGCGUGAAGGAAGAAGGCUUUCGGGUUGUAAACUUCUUUUGUCGGGGACGAAACAAAUGACGGUACCCGACGAAUAAGCCACGGCUAAUUCCGUGCCAGCAGCCGCGGUAAUACGGAAGGUCCUGGCGUUAUCCGGAUUUAUUGGGUUUAAAGGGAGCGUAGGCCGGAGAUUAAGCGUGUUGUGAAAUGUAGGAGCUCAACUUCUGCACUGCAGCGCGAACUGGUUUCCUUGAGUACGUAGGAAGUUGGCGGAAUUCGUGGUGUAGCGGUGAAAUGCUUAGAUAUCACGAAGAACUCCGAUUGCGAAGGCAGCUGACUGUAUCGUAACUGACGCUGAAGCUCGAAAGUGUGGGUAUCGAACAGGAUUAGAUACC